rnacentral:rRNA from 1 species
AGAAUCAACGCUGGCGGCGUGCCUAACACAUGCAAGUCGCACGAGAAAGGGACUUCGGUCCUGAGUACAGUGGCGCACGGGUGAGUAACACGUGAAUAAUCUACCUCCGAGUGGGGAAUAACUGAGAGAAAUCUUAGCUAAUACCGCAUAACACUUACGAGUCAAAGCAGCAAUGCGCUUGGAGAGGAGUUCGCGGCAGAUUAGUUAGUUGGCGGGGUAAUGGCCACCAAGACGAUGAUCUGUAUCCGGCCUGAGAGGGCGCACGGACACACUGGAACUGAAACACGGUCCAGACUCCUACGGGAGGCAGCAGUGGGGAAUUUUGCGCAAUGGGGGAAACCCUGACGCAGCAACGCCGCGUGGAGGAUGAAAUCCCUUGGGAUGUAAACUCCUUUCGAUAGGGAAGAUAAUGACGGUACCUAUAGAAGAAGCCCCGGCUAACUUCGUGCCAGCAGCCGC